AAAUAAAGUAGGAAAAGCUGUGGGUAGAUCCCAGGUCUGUCCCCUGCCCCAAGCCUGGCUCACCCCUCCCCUUGCAGCCAAGGCUCCAAAGAGCUGUUCCGGCAUCCUGUUCUCUGCUUCCUCCCUGCCUGCUGCCCCCCAGCCCCUGCCCUGUCACCAUCACCAUCCUGGGGCCUCCGCCCCACCCCCACGCACUAUCAAAACGAAGGUGGAGCCGACGGACGGAAUCCUCUUUCCUCCCCCUUCAGGUCACACGAGCAUCCUGCACCGUGCAGUACCCUCUGCUUCUUGGGACUGUCCCCUUGCUCCUGGCAUUCAGGACACACAUGCUGCCUGCCUCCCGCUGCUGCAGAAGAGGAUUUUCCGUGUAGCUACUGACCAUGGACAAGACUAGAUGAGGACCAGGUUGUGUGUGAUGAGAGCUCGGGGCUGUGCCGUAAAUGGAAGGAGGCACCAUGAGUAUGCGCCAGAGCGAGGGUUUUGGAGCUGAGCCCUGUGGGCAGCUGCUUUUUCCAGAGAAGCUGGAAAAGGCAGGACGGGGUUUCUCUCCCGAGCCCCCAGAAGGACCCUAGCCUGUCAGCACCUCUAUUUUUAGCCCUGGGCCCCUCAUUUUGGAUGUCCAACCUCCAGAACGGUUCAGAAGUGAGUUAAUUUAAGGAAGAACAGUUGCCCACAGCUGCAGCAAACACCCUGCGGGAACAGAGCCCCUGCAGAGGGUGUGGACCUGUGCAGGUGACUGCCUUAGCUCCGUGGUCUGCAAAUGCUCUGGGACCCUGUGGCAGUGGCUCUAAGCACAAGCAGGAAAUUUCCCCAGCUGGUGGAGAGUCCUGCUGUGAGUCUUCAGAAGGUGACCUUUGGGGGAUGCAGGGUCAUGUCCAGCCAGGCUGUUGUGAGGAUGCCAAGCAAGAAAGGACACCGCAGUGCCCAGCCACGUGCCAGGUAUUCAGCGCUGUCAAUGGUGACGUCCCAAGGCGAACUGGGUCCUCUGCACCCAAAGACUGUUUCAUGCCGGAAGAUCUGUCACAGUCCCUCAAGCUCUGGCUUGCAUAGCACAGCUGCACUGGCCUGCAACUGGAAAACCACACCAAUCUACUUCAGGCAAAAGGCAAGGCCCUCUGCCCUCAACUGCUGACUCUGCAGCGUUGUCCCCUGCAAAAGCAGCACCAGGAAGGAGUAGAGGGCUCUGCACGGUUCUUCCCCAGGCUUCAGGCGGCCAGACCAAAGGCCACAGCAGGAGCAGAAAAUGCUCCUCCAGCUGUGAUGGGAAAAGGCAUGGGAAUCUGAGAGCCAGGAGGGGCUCAGGCCCCUACCUACCACCCACCUCUGCCUGAAGCCCCUUGCUGAAUUCACCCCUACAACUACCCUGCCUGAGUCGGAAUGAGAGGAUUACACGAAAGCACAGAAGAUGGCCUCUAGCACCUGCCUUUUGUCCCAAUUCUUCUGGGGGUGGGCAGUAGGGGGGGAUCUACUCUGAAGGCCAAGAGUGAACCCCGGCUACCCCAUGAGGAAGGCUGGCCUUGGGCCUUGUGACUCCUGCUCAUAAGUGAUAUCAAGGACAGCUCUCCUGCGUUCUGCUUUUGGUUGCUAUAAAACGUCCCGGCCUUUGGUCAUGUCUCAGCCCUUGCUGUGGGCCUUGGGGAACGCUGAAGAACUUUCCAGAAGAGCCCAGCCAGGCCUGACUAUAUAGGCUCAAUGAAAAGAACAGAAGCCCCCGGAUAGGCCUGCAACCCAAAGGCUUGGGACCCAGAGGCGAGGGCCAGGACGGCACUGGCGAUGGAGGCCUGCCUGCUGUCAGCACUGAUAUCCUGCUUGCAUUCUUUCCAUCCCGAUUUCCAGGCCAUCACGGCCCAAACUGGGUGUCUGGCACGUGCUCACUCAGGUGGUUCCUGCCUUCCGACAGUCCCUGCUGGAGAGUGCAGAGCCAGCGCCCUCCCCACUAAGGGGUGGUGCUGGUAUGGGGCAUUUUGGGACACCUCCACAGGCCCUGGUGCCUGGGAGACAUGUCUCUCAGUGGUCAGCUUCUCUGUAUACAAUGGGGCCAUCCAUGUGAUUCCCCCAAGGAUUUCCAGACCUGGCCACUUAGGUAAAGAAGCCACGGCGAACAUAGUCCAACAUUAGUGACCCUGGCUGACCAAGUGGACACCCCCCCACCCCGGUGUCUGCGGCACUGCAAGACUGAGUGGUUCUACUUAGAAGGUUGAGAGGACUAAUUAACAGCACUGACAUCUACGCAGCUGAGGCACAGAAAGGUAACUCCCUCGGUUCCCACCUGGACCUUGUCCCCAAAGCCUGAGCCACACAGUGACCUGACUCUUCUACGCAGGCCCAGUGGCCAAAGCCCAUCCACCAGGGUCUAACUGGUGGAGGCCAGGUGAGGCCCUGCUGGGCACCUGGGAAAACCAUGGCUCUGGUUUUCAGAUUUCAAAUCCAGAAGCCAAGUAGCAUAUUAAUGCUGUCAAAUGCCCAUGACAAGAAAGCCCCUAGGGAGAAGUUGAAACUGAGCAGAAGAAAUGAACAGUGGGAAGUCCCUGAGCACAGGCACUUCCUGCAGAGCUCCUAGGGCUCCCACCAUUCUGCUCCCCUGUCCCCCAUGCAGACCCCCCACCCUGUGGACGGCCUUAUGGAGUAGGAUGGAGGGGGACACUAUGGCAUGGGUCCUGCAGGCCAGUCCUGAAAGGGGUCCCUGGGAGAGCAUGCAGAUCCUACCCCAGCUGCACAGACAGCACCUUGGGCCUGGCAAGGACCAGCAGUGAGAGCAGGAAUUGGUGUCUGUGGGGAUGGCUGGAGGAGGAGGGAAGGCCUGUAGGUUAUAAAACUUGAAAACAAACCCUCAAGGAAACACACAGCUGGAAAACAAAAGGAGAAGCAGAAGAUAUCAAUUACCUUUAACUUUGAUUUCUUGGAUCAAAGAUCACAGUCUUUCUGUUUCAUAAUAUGUUUUGUAUCCAGCUAAGGUGUGUGUCUAUCAGCUCUGAAAAAGAUUUGCAAAACCAUUUUUAAGAAGAAAAAAAAUCACCUUUGAUCCUCUAUCAUGUUUCCAACUCAACUCAGUAAUAACAUCCAAUCAAUGGGGCUCUUCCCCUCGGAACCCAGGAGAGAACAUAACCCUUUGGCUGUCGUUUAAGCCCAAAUUCAGUAUCACCUUAAAAUCUGUGCCAGGGUAGUGGUCACUGAGAUAGGGGACCUUGUCCAGAGAACUGAGGAUCGCCGAGACCAGGGUGCCUCGGGCACGUCUCCAGACCAAAGGCCUCUAACAAUGGCCAAUUAAAAGAGAAAAGUUUAAAAACUGGCUUCCGCUAGAAUCGAAAGAAAAUC